CGACUGGUAAAUCCUCUCUGUGCACCCAGACUGGGUCUUGCGCUGAAAAACAUCAAAAUCUGAAUUAUACAGAGGCUAUGCAGCACUAUGGGCAAACAGGGAAGCAAGCUAAUGCUAUCUGCUGGUUUCACAAGAAAAAAAGUCAGAAAUACCAUAACCACUAAAAGACAUCUUGAAUAAAGAAACACUUUACUUUGGUGGACCCAAUCUUCAGGGGUGCAUCCAGUUUCUCUGAUACAGGUACCUGUGAGCCGGAAAGGCACACUCAGGUAUAGACAGACGUAGCCCAGUCGUGUGGCACCCAUGAAUAGAUCCAGUGAGCCUGUGCAGCUGUGUUUUGAUCAGCAAAGAGGAUUCCUGGCAUCGAGAACUGAAAUCACCUAGUGGCUAUGACAAGCACAUCUAAGUAUGUAGCAAGUGAAAAUCAAGGGUUUCUGUAAGG